AGUCGAGCGGAGAUGAGGUGCUUGCACCUUAUCUUAGCGGCGGACGGGUGAGUAAUGCUUAGGAAUCUGCCUAUUAGUGGGGGACAACAUUCCGAAAGGAAUGCUAAUACCGCAUACGUCCUACGGGAGAAAGCAGGGGAUCUUCGGACCUUGCGCUAAUAGAUGAGCCUAAGUCGGAUUAGCUAGUUGGUGGGGUAAAGGCCUACCAAGGCGACGAUCUGUAGCGGGUCUGAGAGGAUGAUCCGCCACACUGGGACUGAGACACGGCCCAGACUCCUACGGGAGGCAGCAGUGGGGAAUAUUGGACAAUGGGGGGAACCCUGAUCCAGCCAUGCCGCGUGUGUGAAGAAGGCCUUAUGGUUGUAAAGCACUUUAGGCGAGGAGGAGGCUACUGAGACUAAUACUCUUGGAUAGUGGACGUUACUCGCAGAAUAAGCACCGGCUAACUCUGUGCCAGCAGCCGCGGUAAUACAGAGGGUGCGAGCGUUAAUCGGAUUUACUGGGCGUAAAGCGUGCGUAGGCGGCUUUUUAAGUCGGAUGUGAAAUCCCCGAGCUUAACUUGGGAAUUGCAUUUGAUACUGGGAAGCUAGAGUAUGGGAGAGGAUGGUAGAAUUCCAGGUGUAGCGGUGAAAUGCGUAGAGAUCUGGAGGAAUACCGGUGGCGAAUGCAGCCAUCUGGCCUAAUACUGACGCUGAG
rnacentral:rRNA from 1 species